AGAUUGAACGCUGGCGGCAUGCCUUACACAUGCAAGUCGAACGGCAGCACGGGAGCAAUCCUGGUGGCGAGUGGCGAACGGGUGAGUAAUACAUCGGAACGUGCCCAAUCGUGGGGGAUAACGCAGCGAAAGCUGUGCUAAUACCGCAUAAGAUCUACGGAUGAAAGCAGGGGAUCGCAAGACCUUGCGCGAAUGGAGCGGCCGAUGGCAGAUUAGGUAGUUGGUGAGGUAAAGGCUCACCAAGCCUUCGAUCUGUAGCUGGUCUGAGAGGACGACCAGCCACACUGGGACUGAGACACGGCCCAGACUCCUACGGGAGGCAGCAGUGGGGAAUUUUGGACAAUGGGCGAAAGCCUGAUCCAGCCUUGCCGCGUGCAGGAUGAAGGCCGUUCGGUUGUAACUGUCUUUGUACGGAACGAAAGUCUACUUCUAACUAAGAGGAUACAUAGAACGGUACCGUAAAGAAUAAGACACCGG
rnacentral:rRNA from 1 species